rnacentral:rRNA from 1 species
AUACGGAGGAUUCGAGCGUUAUCCGGAUUUAUUGGGUUUAAAGGGUGCGCAGGCGGCCAUUUAAGUCAGCGGUUAAAUCGUGGGGCUCAACCCCAUUCUGCCGUUGAUACUGGGUGGCUUGAUUGCGGUCGAGGUUGGCGGAAUUCGUUGUGUAGCGGUGAAAUGCAUAGAUAUGACGAAGAACACCGAUUGCGUAGGCAGCUGACCAGACCGCAAAUGACGCUCAUGCACGAAAGUGCGGGGAUCGAACAGGAUUAGAUACCCUGGUAGUCCGCACAGUAAACGAUGAAUACUUGUUUUCGGCGAUAUAAUGUCGGAGGCAAAGCGAAAGCGAUAAGUAUUCCACCUGGGGAGUACGCCGGCAACGGUGAAACUCAAAGGAAUUGACGGGG